UACAGAGGGGGCGAGCGUUGUUCGGAAUUACUGGGCGUAAAGGGCGCGUAGGCGGCCAACUAAGUCAGACGUGAAAUCCCUCGGCUCAACCGGGGAACUGCGUCUGAUACUGGAUGGCUUGAAUUCGGGGGAGGGAUGCGGAAUUCCAGGUGUAGCGGUGAAAUGCGUAGAUAUCUGGAGGAACACCGGUGGCGAAGGCGGCAUCCUGGACCGAGAUUGACGCUGAUGCGCGAAAGCCAGGGGAGCAAACGGG
rnacentral:rRNA from 1 species